UGGGAUGGUUGGAUUGCUGCUUUCGGAAGCUAAAAACGAUUUAGCCUCUCUCUCGCUCUCUUCUUCAACGCACCCGGCCCGUCGACGGCUCCUUCCCCGUUGCCGCCGCCGCCUCCGCAUCUCCUCCCUCUGCCCUCUCCCUCUCGCUCGUCGCUCGUCGUACCGCCAGUCGCGGGCCCUUUGGCCAGCACGGGCGGCGGCGCCGGCACCACGCCGCCGGCCAGCGUGGCCGCGGUCAGGCGAGGCGCCGCGCCGGCUGUUCAUCUCCCGCUCGCCCUCCUCCUUCAAGACCCCGGCCGACCUCCCCAAACCCUAGCCCCUUUCGUUUUUUCCCUUCUCCUCCAUUGCCGCCGCCACUGCCUCCUUCCCCGAUGCCGGCCGCCGUCGAAAUUCGUCAUCUCCGGGCUCCUGGCAACCACCCGUUCGAGCCGUAGGUGACCCUCGCCGCCCCACCGUCUUCCUCGCGCGCGCGCCGGCCCUGACCCCACUUUCCUCCCUCGCCGCCGCCGUGGCCGCGGUCAGGGGUCCGCCUAACCCCUCGUUCUCCCCAGCCGCCGCCAGCUGCCCGCAGAGCUCGCCGGCGCUCGUGGCGGCGGCCAAGAAGGUGCGGGAGACCGAGCAGGACGCCGUGGCGGCGAGGGUGGGGACCGAGGUGGCCGCCGGGAUCGGCGAACAGGCGGGGAUCUCCCGCCGUCAUCCCGGAUGGUUCUGAUAUCAGCCCCAUGUGGUCCGGUGAGGCGCCACCUUUGAAGGUGGAAAAGAUGCUGUUCUAAGGGAAGUUGGACUACCAAAAUGUCAUGGUUUUCCAGAUAAUUCUUAUUAUUGUUUUACUUCCACCCGAGCCGCCUGCAAUUCGUCAUUACUCGUCAGCCAUUGCUCAUAAUGGGAGAUGAAUCUGUUUCUCUAUUGUAGUCCUCUCCGUUCGGCAUGGUGCUCCUGCUGGAUGGAGUAAUUCAGGUUACUCAGAGGGAUGAGUGCGCAUACCAAGUGAUGAUUACCCACCUCCCCCUUUUCUCCAUCAAAGAUCCCAACAAGUUACUGGAGGAGGAGAUGGUGGUGUUUCACGACGUUUCCUCUGUGGAACAGAUUGACAUUUGUGAAAUUGACAAGAUGGUGGUAGAUUUUGUGAAUUCAUACACAAAGUAGGCUUGGAAGGGACCAACUACUCCAAGGAAGAGACGAACUUAAAGGGUUUCAAGGAAUGCUUGUUCUUAUACCGCAGUUUCUUAUUGGAACUGGAUAUUACUCUUUUGUAUUUCAGAGCACAAUUGUUUUUGUUGAAGUGUAGGGAAUCCUAUUCUUCUUACAUGAUUUCAGAAAGUAUAUUUGGAUAAUGAUAUUAAGAAAGGCCAGCGAAUUUGGUAGAAAUACAUUUCAGUACAGUCCUUCAUCACUGUUCACUUUAUGGUGCAAAAAAUAGUUUGCGCUUCACGAUGUAAUGUUGAGUAGUAUGACUGUUGGUUGGUUCGGUUAUGAAUCCUAUAAUAUAUUUUCUUUGAAUA